AUGGGAAGGCCGGAGCACGAUGGGGCUGCGUCGCCGUUCGGGUUCGGCCCGUCCCCGCCUCUCUCCGGCGCGUCGUCCCCUUCGCCGCUGCUACCGGCACCCAACCACGCCAAGGCGAGGUUUGCGGGAAGGAGGAGGCACGCCGUCGUCAGGCUCAUCUGCUCCCCCUUCGCCGCCGUCUUCGGAACCGCGUGCUCCGCCGGCGCAGCUGCGAACGACGUCGACCGGGCGACGAGAAGGCCGAGCCUCGAGGAGCUCCUGCGGAUGGAAGCGUCGUCGUCCGAUCUCCUCGACGUCAAGCAGCCCAACGAACCUGCCGAGAUGGUCGACCCGUACGACGACGACGACGACGGCUCCUGGAAGAAGAGCGCCAUCGUGGUGUUCGAUCUAAGCGAAGGCGGCGACAAGAACCGCCGCAUCGAGGACGAGAAUGACGAGGCGCCGCUGGCCGUCUCAGAAGACCAGCACGGCGCCAUGACCUGCCCCGGCGACGUGAAGGAGCCCGCGGAGGAGCUCGACGCCGGCGGCGCCAUGAUGUCGCCGAAGGCGCUGGUGAACGUGGGGAGGCUGGUGGUCGUCCUCGCGUCGCUGGGGGCGCGCUCCAGGGCGCUGAAGGGCUCGUACGGCAGGCUGGCAGCCGGUCGCCGUGUCGGCGGUGCCAAUGAUGGCAAGGCGGAGCUGUUCUACGACCGGCCGAUCCCGCUGGGGCGGAGGUGCCGGGUGCAGCACCUGGAGGAGUCCCCUUACCUGUGA
rnacentral:rRNA from 1 species